GUUUAAAUAGCCACGACAUGUUGGAGCACCACACAAACAAGGAAUCUUAUCAGCUUCUUCCGGAAACUUGUAAUCAUAAGUAAGUUCCUCUCCAUGCAUAAUAUCCCUGUCAGCAUAAAUUACGAUUUUUCUUUUCCCUUCAACUCUAAUAAUCCUAGCUAUACAAUUAGGAGCGCAUGAAUGAUUGAUGAAACGCGCGAUAUUUCCCUUUUUUGUAGCAUCAACGAUAACAUCCUCGUCAAUACGGAACAAAUAACUGUCUCCAAUACCUUCACGAACGUAGUUCUUUUCACGAUUAUCAGCCACCCGUUGUCGAAUGAUUUCUCCAAUAUACUCUAUGACCAUAUCAUUUUUAUCAAUGUUUUCCAUGGCAAAAAGCCCUAAUGUAUGAAUGCGACUAGGGCCAAAAUGUAAUUGCUUUUUACGAGCCUUUAGUGCAUUGAAUCUGAGCAAGUCAGCUUCGGCUGGCAAUUGAGACUUUUCAACUCCAGCAGCCAAUCUUCUAUUGUUAACACGAUUCAUUCGUGAUGUGAUACGGCUUGUAGAAUGACUAAUAGUAUCGAUGGUUGAUCGAUUACGAAGUGGUAGAUAUAGUGAUUUUUCGGUAGUUGG